rnacentral:rRNA from 1 species
CGACAGAUAAGGAGCUUGCUCCUUUGACGUUAGCGGCGGACGGGUGAGUAACACGUGGGUAACCUACCUAUAAGACUGGAAUAACUCCGGGAAACCGGGGCUAAUGCCGGAUAACAUUUAGAACCGCAUGGUUCUAAAGUGAAAGAUGGUUUUGCUAUCACUUAUAGAUGGACCCGCGCCGUAUUAGCUAGUUGGUAAGGUAAUGGCUUACCAAGGCAACGAUACGUAGCCGACCUGAGAGGGUGAUCGGCCACACUGGAACUGAGACACGGUCCAGACUCCUACGGGAGGCAGCAGUAGGGAAUCUUCCGCAAUGGGCGAAAGCCUGACGGAGCAACGCCGCGUGAGUGAUGAAGGGUUUCGGCUCGUAAAACUCUGUUAUUAGGGAAGAACAAACGUGUAAGUAACUGUGCACGUCUUGACGGUACCUAAUCAGAAAGCCACGGCUAACUACGUGCCAGCAGCCGCGGUAAUACGUAGGUGGCAAGCGUUAUCCGGAAUUAUUGGGCGUAAAGCGCGCGUAGGCGGUUUCUUAAGUCUGAUGUGAAAGCCCACGGCUCAACCGUGGAGGGUCAUUGGAAACUGGGAGACUUGACUGCACAAAAGGAAAGUGGAAUUCCAUGUGUAGCGGUGAAAUGC